rnacentral:misc_RNA from 1 species
AAGUCGUAACAAGGUUUCCGUAGGUGAACCUGCGGAAGGAUCAUUAUCACGUUAUCCACGUUAUUACCAACCGUGAACUGUUCGGUCCACAUGAGAAGGUUAAAUUCUUCUUGUGUGUUUGACCAAAACCCCAUUGGAAGCUUCACCGCUUCCUUUGGGUGAUUUGAACCAUUAACCAAUUGAACAAAUUAUAUAUACUUUAAUGUACUUACAAGUUGUUUCUUACCUUUGUUAAUUCAGAGGAAGAAAUGUUAUAAAAAUAUACGUAACAUAAAAAAAGAACAACUCUUAGCAACGGAUAUCUAGGUUCUC